UACGAAGGGGUCUAGCGUUGUUCGGAAUCACUGGGCGUAAAGCGCACGUAGGCGGAUUCGUAAGUUAGGGGUGAAAUCCCGGGGCUCAACCUCGGAACUGCCUUUGAUACUGCGGGUCUCGAGUCCGAUAGAGGUGGGUGGAAUUCCUAGUGUAGAGGUGAAAUUCGUAGAUAUUAGGAAGAACACCGGUGGCGAAGGCGGCUAACUGGUCCAGCACUGACGCUGAGGUGCGAAAGCGUGGGGAGCAAACAGG
rnacentral:rRNA from 1 species